rnacentral:rRNA from 1 species
GAUGAACGCUGGCGGCGUGCCUAGUACAUGCAAGUCGAGCGAACAGACGAGGAGCUUGCUCCUCUGACGUUAGCGGCGGACGGGUGAGUAACACGUGGAUAACCUACCUAUAAGACUGGGAUAACUUCGGGAAACCGGAGCUAAUACCGGAUAAUAUAUUGAACCGCAUGGUUCAAUAGUGAAAGACGGUUUUGCUGUCACUUAUAGAUGGAUCCGCGCCGCAUUAGCUAGUUGGUAAGGUAACGGCUUACCAAGGCAACGAUGCGUAGCCGACCUGGGAGGGUGAUCGGCCACACUGGAACUGAGACACGGUCCAGACUCCUACGGGAGGCAGCAGUAGGGAAUCUUCCGCAAUGGGCGAAAGCCUGACGGAGCAACGCCGCGUGAGUGAUGAAGGUCUUCGGAUCGUAAAACUCUGUUAUUAGGGAAGAACAAAUGUGUAAGUAACUAUGCACGUCUUGACGGUACCUAAUCAGAAAGCCACGGCUAACUACGUG